rnacentral:miRNA from 1 species
UUUGUAUUACGUGCGGAAAUUGUUACCAUAUUCAGCUCAAAAAUGGUAACAAUUUCCGCACGUAAUACAAA